rnacentral:rRNA from 1 species
AACGAACGUUAGCGAGAUGUUUUAAGCAUGCAAGUCGAGCGGUAACAGACCUUCGGGUGCUGACGAGCGGCGAACGGGUGAGUAAUGAGAAGCUAUCUACCUUCUAGACUGGAAUAGCUCAGGGAAACCUGAAUUAAUGCCGGAUAUGAGGAAACUUGAAAGAUGCGUUUGCAUCACUGGGAGAUGAGGCUUCUUCCUAUUAGCUUGUUGGUGGGGUAAUGGCCUACCAAGGUUAUGAUAGGUAGCCGACCUGAGAGGGUGAUCGGCCACAUUGGGACUGAGAUACGGCCCAG